ACCAAACAAAUUUUGUGCCCUUAUAUCCCACUUAAACAAAUUUUGUGCCCUUAUAUCCCACUUAAACAAAUUUUGUGCCCUUAUAUCCCAAUCUGGGAUAUAAGGGCACAAAAUU